rnacentral:snRNA from 1 species
UAUGAAUGGGAUCAAAGU